rnacentral:lncRNA from 1 species
AUGUCACUCCUUAGCAAUGAAAGUCUUGUCUUUAGGUGUUGUGGCCAGCAAGGGCCAGGUCUGAACCCUCCCCAGCCCACAGCUCUGCUCCGUUCCACUUGGGAUCUUGCGGAUCCCCAGACCUGCUCCUCUGCCUGUCUGUGUGUCCCUCACAGCAGUGGUGCUGCCAGGAGAGGUGUCACAGGGGUGACAUGCUGUACAGUGCCAUUUAUUCCAUUUUCUCCUUCCUCUCUCAGCCUUUGCUUGCAUGGCUGCUCCUGGGGACACAUGCCCUCCUCUCUGGGGGCCACUGAGCCCCCCGCAAAGCUUCCUUCAUCAGAUGGGGGGCUGCCUUCCCUUCUGUGCAGCUUCUUGUUCCUCUCUCCCCAGGCUGCAUCAGCGAAGCAGCAGAACUGGGACACUGCCAUGGGACAUUUCCUGUGUCCCCAGCCCAGGGGCCUCCUGCUCAGCCAGCCCCCUGCCUCCCUGCACACAAGCUGUGCAUGCCACACUACGGGGGGGCACCUGGAAUCCAGUCUAGGAACAGAAACAUUGCAGACUUUUGUCUUCUCCCUUUUCACCUGCUUUUCCCCCAGAGCAAAGCAGCUGCAGCCUCCCAUGGGUUGGUGCUCAGGCAGUGGUGGCAGCGUGGCUGCUCCUGCUGACAGCCCCAGGGAGCAGAAUUCCAGCUGUGUGCCAGUCACUCCUGCCCAUGACCCCAUCAGAUCUACUCACAGCCCCAGCCACAGCUUCUGCUCCCCUGCUUUCACAGCUAGCCCCCAGAGGUGUGUUGGCAGGAAGGAUGGACUUAAGCUGUGCUUUCCUCAGGAGGCUGUAAUUCCAGAGACUGCUCUCCAAGGUCCUUUGUGUCUCACCAGUGUCCCCACUGAAGUCAGCAGAGCCUUUGGGCUCUUGCUGGGUGGUUCCAGUUGUGGGGGCUUUGGAAACCCCCAAUGCCCUGCACCCCUCGAGCUUUGCUGCCAACUUGGUGGCCAGUGGAACCUCUUGCAGGCCCUGCUGUGCUGUAGUGGGGAGCCUGGGUCAGCUCCAGUUCCAUCCCUGGUUUCUGGGAGGUGA